CCAGCCCGCUCAGAAACUCAAAGGAAUUGACGGGGCCCGCACAAGCGGUGGAGUAUGUGGUUUAAUUCGAUGCAACGCGAAGAACCUUACCUGGUCUUGACAUCCCGGAGACCCUUAGGAAACUAGGGGGGUGCCUUCCAUCUGGAAGAAUCUGGAGACAGGUGCUGCAUGGCUGUCGUCAGCUCGUGUCGUGAGAUGUUGGGUUAAGUCCCGCAACGAGCGCAACCCUUGCCUUUAGUUGCCAGCAGUUCGGCUGGGCACUCUAAAGGGACUGCCGGUGUUAAACCGGAGGAAGGUGGGGAUGACGUCAAGUCCUCAUGGCCUUUAUGACCAGGGCUACACACGUACUACAAUGGCCGAUACAAAGGGCAGCGACACUGCGAGGUGAAGCCAAUCCCGUAAAAUCGGUCUCAGUCCGGAUUGGAGUCUGCAACUCGACUCCAUGAAGUUGGAAUCGCUAGUAAUCGUGGAUCAGCAUGCCACGGUGAAUACGUUCCCGGGCCUU
rnacentral:rRNA from 1 species